rnacentral:lncRNA from 1 species
UGGUGGGCUUUUCUGUGCAAUUAAUGUAUUAAGAUAGGAUUUCUGCCUUCGUGCAUUAUUAUUCCUCUGCAACCCGGGUCUGCAAAGCAGCCGGCUGAGCCGUGCCCUCCGGCCUGACGUCUGGAGACCUGCGCACCGGUCGCGUGGACGCGAGGCUCUUGUCCGUAACCCGCGUGGCCUCAGAGGGGGCCAAAAGCAAGCUCGGCCUCACGUUGCUGCUUACUCUGUGUCAUGCAGCCCCCUGCUCCAGCCUCCUUGCCCUAUUGCUGAUGACGGUGCAGAUGACAGUUUCUUUGCAGAAGAUCCCCCUGAUUUUGCAGACCUUGAAGGAACUGAGCUAAGCGACCUCGAAGGCACUUUUAUACAGGUGGAAGAGAAGAUCGCUGAAGACGCUGAAGCCGAGGUUGAAGGUAUAAUACACAACAUGGGCUGAUGUUGAAUUGCAGUGAAUGAGGUGCCCGGUGAGGGCAAAGACGGAGCCGUGCCCUUCUGACCACUCACUGCAUGGAAUUGAACCCCUUGUCUGUGGCUUGUCUGUGGCACGGGCCUGCUUGCUCAGUUUGGGUUUUUCACUAGCCAAAAUCAUCCUGUGGAAAGGGUACACUGGCAAUAUUACUGUCAGCUGGAGCCAGAUAUGAAGGGCUGGUCCUUACCGGUCAUUAGUCUUGUUGAUUAAACCAACCCUGAUGUGAAAUAGGAGCUUCUCCUUCAAGCGAAGGAGAAACGCAGGGUGGGGAAAAGGAUUUUCAUUGCUGCUUUGUUCACUUUGGGAAAUAAUCUGUCACAUAAAGUGCAUGCUAAUGUCAUGUUUUAGGAGGUAAUGGAUGGUUAAUGAAAAUUAGCUGUGGAGCUGCUAUCGCAGCCUGAGAGAGCGAUGCUAAUUCCUG